CUCACAACAUGGCGCCUGGGCCCUACCUGCGCGGCCCAGGGCGCCUGCGCGCUCCGCCCCAGGGUGGGCCCGUCGCCGCCGCCCGGGCCCUCACGGCCCGCAGGUGGCUUGGCUGAUUCAGAAGAGUCCUUGAAACGUUAGACCAGCAAUGAAGAUGUGGACUGGUGUCGGAAUUCUUGCCAUAGAAGCCAAGUUUUCUAGGACUGUGUUGGAGAAGGCUACUUUGUUUUCAACAGCCCCCCCCCCCGCCCCCGUCCGCAAGCAUUUCUAGAUCUUGACAGGCCCCUGGAUGAUGAAAUCAUACAGGAAUGCAAACAUUUUCUACAAUUUCCUCUGGCAGGCUCUUCUUUGAAGUUCUGAUCCUGCAAGUGUAAUAGAAGCCACGAUAAUGACAAUAAGAAUACUUCUAAAUCCUACAUGUAUUAGAGAUAUGAUAUCUGACUCACUGCUUAAAACUCUAGCUUUUGUGGUGUAUGUAUGUGUACACAAAACUGCACUGAAAAGAGUAGAGCAUAAUGCAUCAGGCUGGAUGGUAUUACUGCUUCAAGUUUUAUCUGUGGUCACUAUACUAGCAGGAAAUACUGUGCCUGUGGUUUCUACAUCCUGAGUGGAAAUCUGGAAUUCAAUAAAAUAUGGUCUCAUUACAGCA